GAGACUCGCUCACAAACUUCGAAUAUUCGGAAACAGAAGACUGAAGGAAGAGUGAGUGAAGACACUUCUUCUCCUACUCUCUCUUCUAUGCUUCCGACCUUCUCUGGUUUCUCUGAUUGACAGGACCUGCGGCUUUAUAUCCCAAUGCCGCUUUUGAGGAGAAAGCCUUUUGCCCUUGCUGAACCACCGAAUGAUUUGGAGCCAUGCGAGAGUCUUUUUCGAAUUCGAUUUACUAAAGAAGUAUUUCGAGAUUAUAAUGAUUAUUUGAACCGCUUAAAUCAAUACCGCAAGAGGGUUUGGACGUGCAAAGUAACGGGAAAAACCGGCUUGACUUAUGAACAGGCUUUGGUGUCAGAGAAGCUUGCUACUGAGAAAGUUCAACAGAUUCCGGAAGAAUUAAUGGUACCGGCACUUAGGAUUAUUCAGUACAGUAAGUUCUACUUUUGGUCCAAAUGAAAAGAAAAAGUUUAUGUUGAACGAAAUUGAACUAUGUUUCCUUUUUCUUUGUGGCUUAUUAUUGGUUAUGCUCAUUUGUUUUGCAUGGGUAAUUUGAAAAUUUUCGUUUUUUCUGCAUUUGUUGAAAUUAAAAUAUAUGGUUUAAAGAGCUGUCUUUUAAUUUGCUUUGUUUACAAGGGUUUGUUAUUGUUAAAAGUUUAUAAUAUACAGUAUUAUAAGCACCUUUGGAGGAAAUUAAGAUGAUUGUGAAGAAGCACAUGUAAUGGGAUGUGCAUAUUGAAUCCCGCAGUAGGGGCGGUGACUUUAAGAUGGGACGUUACUUUUGAAUGAUCGAACAAAAGGUAUACCGUGCUACCAUCCACAAUGUUAUUUGAGAGAGAAAGAUUGCUUUGUUGUCUUGGAGUUGUUUUCAAGGGCCUACCAAAUGGUUUUAGAUUACUGGUUCCGUUUUUCAUUACAGGAAUUUGUCCAUCAAGUUAGCAGUUCAAUGCAAGUAUUGCAUUUUACUAUUUAUUCUAUAAAUUGUCCUAAGCCUCAUGUCUAUCUCUUAUGUUGGUUAGCUUGAAGAUGAGUAAGUUUUGGCUAAUUAGCUGGUAUAAGAGAUUAAAUUAUUGCUGGUUAAAGCAAGCCAUGCCAAAUAUGAUUUAGGUUGCCUGUAUAUAUCUCGUGGGAGCCUCUUCAAUUUGUUUCGGUACACAGAAGUUUAUGGGAGGAGAACCUGCCUCAUUCCAAGGUCUGGACACAAGACUCAGGGAGAUCUUGAAAUGGUAACGAAGAGUUAUAGAUGAUCCACUAAUGAAGGAUUUAGCUAAGUAUAUAUGUCUGCAUAACAUCUUGUGACUUUGAGGCA